rnacentral:rRNA from 1 species
CUGGCUCAGGAUGAACGCUAGCGACAGGCUUAACACAUGCAAGUCGAGGGGCAGCAUAAAAGUAGCAAUACUUGGUGGCGACCGGCGCACGGGUGAGUAACGCGUAUGCAACCUACCUAUCAGAGGGGAUAACCCGGCGAAAGUCGGACUAAUACCGCAUAAAACAGGGGCACCGCAUGGUGAUAUUUGUUAAAAAUUUAUUGCUGAUAGAUGGGCAUGCGUUCCAUUAGGUAGUUGGAGAGGUAACGGCUCACCAAGCCCACGAUGGAUAGGGGAACUGAGAGGUUGGUCCCCCACACUGGUACUGAGACACGGACCAGACUCCUACGGGAGGCAGCAGUGAGGAAUAUUGGUCAAUGGGCGAGAGCCUGAACCAGCCAAGUCGCGUGAAGGAAAGAAGGAUCUAUGGUUCGUAAACUUCUUUUGCAGGGGAAUAAAGUGCAGGACGUGUCCUGUUUUGUAUGUACCCUGAGAAUAAGGAUCGGCUAACUCCGUGCCAGCAGCUGC